rnacentral:lncRNA from 1 species
GAGUAAAGCUGUUGUGGACAGUUACGUGCAGGUUUUUAUGUGGGCACACAUUUUUAUUUCUCUGGAUGACUGUGGGGGAGUGAACUCGCCAAGCUGUGUACCAGCAUCAGACAUGGACUCAUUUUUGCUGACCAUGCCAACAAUUUCAUGUCAAGAAAGAAGUUAAAAUAAUCGGAAUGCAUUAUUACCAUGGCUCCGGCCUGAGCUCCCACUCCAGGUCUCAACGGACCAGACUGUACACAAGGGAUUCGCCUCUGCUUCAGUAGAAAUGUAGUCUGCUGCCAUGAAUCAGGGGCGAGGAGCUUUGGCUGCCCUGUCAGAGGACUCUGCUGGAUUCCCAGCAGGCACCCACCCACAUGGUGGCUCACAACCUCUACUUCCAGAGGAUCCGAUGCCCUCUUCUGGCCUCCUCAAGUACUGCACAUAGGUGGUGCACAUAUAGCAUAUGCAGGCUGACAUUCAUACACGUAAAAUAAAAUACAUUUGUAGUUAAUUUUUUAUUUAUUCACUUCACAUCCCACUCACUGUGCCUGUCCUAGUCAAAUAUAUUUUUUAAGGUAAGCCAGGUUAAAAUAAUGUGAUGUUGGGCAGCGUUUUCUACUGUUCUGUUUUUCUCCUCACAAAGUCCACCUCCCCCAUUGUAGAGAUCAUUUGCUUUGCUUGUUGAUGAGGUGAUUUGCAUUGUCUCUGCUGUCCUUGAAGAUGAUUUCUUAAUUGAU